rnacentral:sRNA from 1 species
GCCAGGCACGGUGGCGCACGCCUGUAAUCCCAGUGGCUCGGGAGGCUGAGACAGGAGGAUUGCAAGUUCAAAGCGAGCCUCAGCAAUGGCGAGGUGCUAAGCAACUCAGUGAAACCCUGUCACUA